UGCUGUAAAGAAAGUGUAUUCCUUUUUGUCCCUAUCUAUUUUUCUCCAUAUGUCUAUUAACUCUAAUUUUUCUAGGAUUCUAUUCACAUCUCUUACCUCUUUCUUAUUUAUUUUUUGAUUUGAUUCAUUUAAAUUUGAUAGCACUGCAUCCUACUGUAGAGUGCCUUUAUUCAUGUGAAUUUGUGUUUUUUUGGUCUUUUUAGGUAGUCUAUAUUAGUAGGUGCUGAGGAGAGGAAGAGUCCUGCAUCAGACUGCUGCCAUGUUUACCUGGAAGUUCAGGGAGAAAUUUUCAGCAAAACCAGUCAUACACUGAAAAAAAUUCUUAUGUUCCCUAUCCAUGGAUAACCCACCUCUUCAAAGCAGAACAAGAUGCCCCUCCCAGAUUAAACUGAUCCCUUGUAAUCUCAUUACCAUGCUGCUAACUCAGCCUUGGAUACUCAGCUCUUUUCCUCCUUCUUCAAUCUCUUCUCUCCUUUAAUGGAAGGACAGGUAGGUGGAAUACUAAACUCUUUCCAAAGCCUUCCUUUAUAGAGGGUAGACUUUUAAGUUCCAACUCACUUCAUUAUCCAUCUACAGUUCUGCUUGGUUUCAACUCCAGGAACUAGAUGCUUAUAGUAGGUGCUUAAUAAAUGUUUAUUUAAUUAAAUAGAAUAUAAUAGUAGGUAGAUAAGCUGUGAAGCUUUUGAUGAAGAAUAUAAAGUAUAUAGGUCAAUUUGGCUUUCCAUGUCUGGUUUUUAGUAGAUAUGAAUACAAUAUAAAUGAAAACUACUUUCCUUCUUUAAUAAAAUAUUAUGUGACAUUUUUUGAGUAUUGCAAAGAAAGAAGGUUCUAA